UACGUAGGGUGCGAGCGUUGUCCGGAAUUAUUGGGCGUAAAGGGCUCGUAGGUGGCCAACUAAGUCAGACGUGAAAUCCCUCAGCUUAACUGGGGAACUGCGUCUGAUACUGGAUGGCUUGAGUUUGGGAGAGGGACGCGGAAUUCCAGGUGUAGCGGUGAAAUGCGUAGAUAUCUGGAGGAACACCGGUGGCGAAGGCGGCGUCCUGGACCAACACUGACACUGAUGAGCGAAAGCCAGGGGAGCAAACGGG
rnacentral:rRNA from 1 species